UGGAUGGGGUGAGGUGGUGGCACCUGUGUCCAUAUUGUUGGCUCUGCGAUGACAUCUUCACAUAUUGAGUAAAUAAUUUGAUGCUAGAGCCAUUGAGCAAUGAAUGUGUGUGUGUGUGUGUGUGUGUGUGAGAGAGAGAGAGAGAGAGAGAGAGAGACAGUCCUUGGUAGAUCAGUUCCAU